UGCAAGUUUAUUUUUAGCAUUUUUGGAAACAUUUUAAGAUAGAUUAAAAGCUUAAGAAAUUCUCUUUAACUUAAGAUUAAUAUUUUAAUUCUAGGUUUUAUACAUAUUACAUAAAUCGUAAAUUAGUUUCAAUGAUUCUAAUCAACAGACUCCAAAUUUCCUUCCCCUUCUGAAACCCUUUUCAACAGGAUUACCCACAGUGAAAAUUUCUCCCAACAGGAUUACUCACAGUGAGGUUGAAGCCAGCUUUCACUGUGAUUUCACCUUUUUCUUGCGUGAAUCCGCGUGUAUUUCUGUUUGUCUUUCAUGUUUAGAUUUUGCCAAGGAAAGUUUGUUAUAGAUUAUCUGAGAUUGCUAAUAUAGGAAAAUGUAAAAUUAGAAAAAGGUUGCAUUUGUCCAGUAAGCGAACGAAAAAGAGAGGAACCAAUCUUAUGGAAUGGAGAGAAAAAAGGAAGGAGGUGGAAGACACUUCCUUCAUCGAAUCUCCAGUAGAAAAUUAUUCGGAUUUUGAGCUUAGUGGAUGGAGAAUCGUGGGUAUUAGCUUUUUUGUGCUGCAAAUGCAACUUCUCAAUGCCCACACACCACCAAGUUGCAACCUCCCGCACAUGAAAGUUGUUUCUGAGGCAAGAAAAAGGUUAAAAAGUUAUUUCAAAUUGAAAUGUGCUGUGUGCAAUUUAGAAAAGUCAAUUUGGAGUGAGGAUUCAGACGCCACAUCAGUCAGUAUUAAUACAGCUGCUGUAAUUGACACAAUAGGAAUCGGUUUUUCUAUCCUCGAGGAAUUCAUAAGUUUUUUUAAAUAUUCCUCCUAUGUCUUCUAAAACUUAUGAUAAAGAACAUAGUAAGGUAGCAAAGGCAUGGGACAAAUACGCUCAAGUGGAGAUGAAGAGAGCCGUUGAAGAGGAAAAACAAUUAGGUCUUGAAAAAGGUGAUGUGGAUGCAGAAGGAGUACCUUUACUAACCGUCAUUGCAGAUGGAACUUGGGACGAAAGAUCCUGAAGAACAAAUUAUUCUUCACUUUCUUACGCAGCUGCCAUAGUUGGUUAUCAAACUAAAAAAGUGCUACACCUACAAGUUCGAAAUAAAUAUUGUCUUACCUGCAAAGUUUCCCAAAGGAAAGAGGUUGAAGUGCCUGCCUCAUCACA